rnacentral:rRNA from 1 species
GACGAACCGAGCGAACGUUGUUCGGAAUCACUGGGCUUAAAGGGCGCGUAGGCGGGUUCUCAAGUCCGGGGUGAAAUCCCACAGCUCAACUGUGGAACUGCCUCGGAUACUGGGAGCCUCGAGGGUGGUAGGGGUAUGCGGAACUAUCGGUGGAGCGGUGAAAUGCGUUGAUAUCGAUAGGAACUCCGGUGGCGAAGGCGGCAUACUGGACCACAUCUGACGCUGAGGCGCGAAAGCCAGGGGGAGCAAACGGG